rnacentral:misc_RNA from 1 species
CUGAAUUUCAAAAUCAAUAUAAUAACAAUGAACAUAUGAUAUAACUCACUAUAAUCGCCAAAACAAUCUUAAUAAAAUUACAUUCUCUAUGACUGAUACCAUCCCUUUGGAGAGAAGAAAGAAAGAAAAAACGGCAAUUACACUUUGAAAAAUAUGAGAAUGGCUAUCUCUCUGAAAUGCUGCCACUAUAAAAUGCAUUCACAGUAUCCUCAAUCGCCUCUACUCUCGCGAUUCCAGCCCAUAGAAUCAUGAAAUGCUUCAUCAGACAGCGUUCUGGGAUAUUCCCCAUUGGUCUGUGAAUGUAAACAGGGACCAAAACUUGAGUGUCUAUCACACAUCAAGUUUGGCAGCCCAUUUUGCUUAGUAUAACUGUCAAAUGGAUCACCAAUGUUCAUCAUGCUCAAUCCUGGCAUGUCCAGCUGCAUUUCGUCGCGAUUAGGAUGACAAUUUAGGUCUAGUGAUCCAGCACUGGUUUCAGCCACCUCGGUUUGCUUUCUGUUUUGACUGACUUCAUUCCC